GACGAACGCUGGCGGCGUGCCUAAUACAUGCAAGUUGAGCGCUGAAGGUUGGUACUUGUACCGACUGGAUGAGCAGCGAACGGGUGAGUAACGCGUGGGGAAUCUGCCUUUGAGCGGGGGACAACAUUUGGAAACGAAUGCUAAUACCGCAUAAAAACUUUAAACACAAGUUUUAAGUUUGAAAGAUGCAAUUGCAUCACUCAAAGAUGAUCCCGCGUUGUAUUAGCUAGUUGGUGAGGUAAAGGCUCACCAAGGCGAUGAUACAUAGCCGACCUGAGAGGGUGAUCGGCCACAUUGGGACUGAGACACGGCCCAAACUCCUACGGGAGGCAGCAGUAGGGAAUCUUCGGCAAUGGACGAAAGUCUGACCGAGCAACGCCGCGUGAGUGAAGAAGGUUUUCGGAUCGUAAAACUCUGUUGGUAGAGAAGAACGUUGGUGAGAGUGGAAAACUCAUCAAGUGACGGUAACUACACAGAAAGGGACGGCUAACUACGUG
rnacentral:rRNA from 1 species